rnacentral:rRNA from 1 species
UAUGGGGAGGUGGUGAGCGAAUGAUAUAAGCAAAGGCCGCUGCGUCCGCUGUGUCGCUACAUCUUCUUUUAAUGCAACAAUUUUAUAAACCCCUCCAGGAGGCCGCGGAAUUCCCGGCCCCAAAGGGUAUUUUAAAGGUGGUGCAGUUUAAAAAAGUUGGAGGUUAACCCUGGGUUUGGGUGGCCGGUCCCCCUUACGGGAAUAAAGGGCCGGGUGGACCUUUCCUUUUGGGGAAACUUAAGGUCUUCAUGGGUGUGGGGGGAACCGGGAAUUUUAUUUUAGAAAAAUUAAAGUGGUGUAAACAAGCCUUUGGUUUGCCUUGAUUAGCCCGGAAUAUAAAAAUAGAAGGAGGUUUUUUUUUUGUGGUGUUUCUAGGACCGCCGUUAAUUUUAAUAGGGAUCUCGGGGGGCAUAGGUAUUAAACAGUCAGAGGUGAAAUUUUUGGAUUUGUUAAAGACAAAUUAAUGGGAAAGCAUUUGCCAAGGAUGUUUUCAUUAAUCAAGAACCAAAGUUAGGGGAUCGAAGACGAUCAGAUACCGUCGUAGUCUUAACCAUAAACUAUGCCAAUUAGAGAUGGAGGUG